GACGAACGCUGGCGGCGUGCUUAACACAUGCAAGUCGAACGGAAAGGCCCUGCUUUUGUGGGGUGCUCGAGUGGCGAACGGGUGAGUAACACGUGAGUAACCUGCCCUUGACUUUGGGAUAACUUCAUGAAACUGGGGCUAAUACCGGAUAGGAGCUCCUGCUGCAUGGUGGGGGUUGGAAAGUUUCGGCGGUUGGGGAUGGACUCGCGGCUUAUCAGCUUGUUGGUGGGGUAGUGGCUUACCAAGGCUUUGACGGGUAGCCGGCCUGAGAGGGUGACCGGCCAAAUUGGGACUGAGAUACGGCCCAGACUACUACGGGAGGCAGCAGUGGGGAAUAUUGCACAAUGGGCGGAAGCCUGAUGCAGCAACGCCGCGUGCGGGAUGACGGCCUUCGGGUUGUAAACCGCUUUCGCCUGUGACGAAGCGUGAGUGACGGUAAUGGGUAAAGAAGCACCGGCUAACUACGUG
rnacentral:rRNA from 1 species